GACGAACGCUGGCGGCGUGCCUAAUACAUGCAAGUCGAGCGAAUCUUUAGGAGCUUGCUCCUGAAGGUUAGCGGCGGACGGGUGAGUAACACGUGGGCAACCUGCCUGUAAGACUGGGAUAACACCGGGAAACCGGUGCUAAUACCGGAUAAUUCUUUUCCUCACAUGAGGGAAGGCUGAAAGUCGGUUUCGGCUGACACUUACAGAUGGGCCCGCGGCGCAUUAGCUAGUUGGUGAGUUAACGGCUCACCAAGGCGACGAUGCGUAGCCGACCUGAGAGGGUGAUCGGCCACACUGGGACUGAGACACGGCCCAGACUCCUACGGGAGGCAGCAGUAGGGAAGCUUCCGCAAUGGACGAAAGUCUGACGGAGCAACGCCGCGUGAGUGAUGAAGGCCUUCGGGUCGUAAAACUCUGUUGUUAGGGAAGAACAAGUACCGGAGUAACUGCCGGUACCUUGACGGUACCUAACCAGAAAGCCACGGCUAACUACGUGCCAGCCGCCGCAGUAAAAC
rnacentral:rRNA from 1 species